rnacentral:rRNA from 1 species
GACAGAGGAGGCAAGCGUUGUUCGGAAUCAUUGGGCUUAAAGGGCGUGUAGGCGGCAACGCAAGUGUCGAGUGAAAUCCCAUCGCUCAACGAUGGAACGGCUCGGCAAACUGCGUGGCUUGAGGUCGGUAGAGGUGCUCGGAACUCUAGGUGGAGCGGUGAAAUGCGUAGAUAUCUAGAGGAACGCCUGAGGCGAAAGCGGGGCACUGGGCCGAUACUGACGCUGAGGAGCGAAAGCGUGGGGAGCGAACAGG